GCCGCAAUUACCCACUCCCGGCACGGGGAGGUAGUGACGAAAAAUAACGAUACGGGACUCAUCCGAGGCCCCGUAAUCGGAAUGAGUAUACUCUAAAUCCUUAUACGAGUAUCAAUUGGAGGGCAAGUCUGGUGCCAGCAGCCGCGGUAAUUCCAGCUCCAAUAGCGUAUAUUAAAGUUGUUGCGGUUAAAAAGCUCGUAGUUGGAUCUGUGUCCCGCGCCGUCGGUUCACCGCCUGUCGGUGUUCAACUGGCGUGUAUGCGGGACGUCCUGCCGGUGGCGGUCCGGUUCCCCGCAUGUUCGUAGGGGUCGUCCUCGCGGUGGCCCCGAAGGCGUGCGCGGUGUAUCCGGCCGCCUUUUCGAUCCCGUCGCGGUGCUCUUCACCGAGUGUCGAGGCGGGCCGGCACGUUUACUUUGAACAAAUUAGAGUGCUUUAAGCAGGCCCUGUCAUGCCUGUAUGUUGUGUGCAUGGAAUAAUGGAAUAGGACCUCGGUUCUAUUUUGUUGGUUUUCGGAAUCUGAGGUAAUGAUCAAUGGGGACAGGCGGGGGCAUUCGUAUUGCGACGUUAGAGGUGAAAUUCUUGGAUCGUCGCAAGACGGACCGAAGCGAAAGCAUUUGCCAAGUAUGUUCUCGUCGAUCAAGAACGAAAGUUAGAGGUUCGAAGGCGAUCAGAUACCGCCCUAGUUCUAACCAUAAACUAUGCCUGCCAGCGAUCCGCCGAAGUUCCUCCGAUGACUCGGCGGGCAGCUUCCGGGAAACCAGAGCUUUUGGGUUCCGGGGGAAGUAUGGUUGCAAAGCUGAAACUUAAAGGAAUUGACGGAAGGGCACCACCAGGAGUGGAGCCUGCGGCUUAAUUUGACUCAACACGGGAAAACUCACCAGGCCCGGACACCGGAAGGAUUGACAGAUUGAGAGCUCUUUCUUGAUUCGGUGGGUGGUGGUGCAUGGCCGUUCUUAGUUGGUGGAGCGAUUUGUCUGGUUAAUUCCGAUAACGAACGAGACUCUAGCCUACUAACUAGGCGUACCCGGUAUCCACAAUCGUGCUACCGGCGAUCAAAUUUCUUCUUAGAGGGACAGGCGGCUUCUAGCCGCACGAGACUGAGCAAUAACAGGUCUGUGAUGCCCUUAGAUGUCCUGGGCCGCACGCGCGCUACACUGAAGGAAUCAGCGUGUCUUCCCUGUCCGAAAGGACCGGGUAAUCCGCUGAACCUCCUUUGUGCUAGGGAUUGGGGCUUGCAAUUGUUCCCCAUGAACGAGGAAUUCCCAGUAAGCGCGAGUCAUAAGCUCGCGUUGAUUACGUCCCUGCCCUUUGUACACACCGCC
rnacentral:rRNA from 1 species